rnacentral:rRNA from 1 species
UACGUAGGGGGCAAGCGUUGUCCGGAAUCAUUGGGCGUAAAGAGCGCGUAGGCGGUCCGGUAAGUCGGUUGUGAAAACUGGGGGCUCAACCCUCAGAGGCCGACCGAUACUGUCGGGCUAGAGUCCGGAAGAGGCGAGUGGAGUUCCUGGUGUAGCGGUGAAAUGCGCAGAUAUCAGGAGGAACACCAAUGGCGAAGGCAGCUCGCUGGGACGGUACUGACGCUGAGGCGCGAAAGCGUGGGGAGCAAACAGG